UCUUCUGAAAGUACCUUCUAUUUUAAUUCAAUCUCUGACUUCAAAGGGUUGCCUUGCUCCCAGUCUUCGGUCUUCAGGGCGAAGGUUUUUAAGCUGCGACAACGCUGGGGCUGGGCUUUUCAAUAGAGGCUGCCGGUGAUGGCUGACGACAAAGGGGCGAUUGUGAUGGUCAGCAGAGGCAGAGAGCGGGAUCUAGAGCUUCUAAUUCCGGCCGCCGGCUCCCCAAAUGACGAUGACUCUUGCAAGCCCUCGUCCUCUUCAGCGUCAUCGCCGCAGACUGGCCGUGAGACAUUUUACAGAGUCUUUAGGAGCUGGGCCUCAAAAAAGUUCAUGACCGGAUGCGUUAUUCUAUUUCCAAUUGCAAUAACUUUCUAUAUAACAUGGUGGUUUAUACACUUCGUGGAUGGAUUCUUUUCUCCGAUCUAUGCUCAACUUGGAAUUGAUAUCUUUGGUCUUGGAUUUGCAACAUCUGUUACGUUUAUCUUCCUUGUUGGGGUAUUCAUGUCGUCAUGGUUAGGUGCUUCUAUUUUGGCUCUUGGAGAGUGGUUCAUCAAGCGCAUGCCAUUUGUUCGUCAUAUUUACAAUGCUUCUAAGCAGAUUAGUUCUGCUAUUUCACCAGAUCAAAAUACCAAAGCCUUCAAGGAAGUUGCCAUCAUUAGGCACCCCCGUAUUGGUGAAUAUGCAUUUGGGUUCAUUACUUCAACUGUCACCCUCCAGGAGGAGGCAACUUCAACCAAUAAUACCCUUACAUUACAUGCAUGCCCAUUGCUCAUCUUGAGCGUGAAUAUCAUUGACGUUGUUAGAAUUAUUCUGGAGAGGAGGAGCUGUGUUGUGUAUAUGUUCCCACCAAUCAUCUUUACAUUGGCGAUGUUUUCCUAGUCAACUCUGAGGAUGUGAUUAGACCAAAUCUAUCAGUUCGGGAAGGAAUCGAAAUCGUCGUGUCUGGAGGCAUGUCAAUGCCGCAGAUUCUAUCCAUACUGAAUCCACAUAUUCGACCAAUUGACAGUAGAAGAAUGACUAGAAGCUGAGACUGAAGAUUGUGCCAUUGCAGGCCGCUAAUCCAUAUACGAUCUUGGUGUACCAAUGUAGCUGUCGGAGUAGUUGCUCUGGCUCCUGGGCAUCAAUACCCUUAGACGGUAAACCGUAACUUAUAAUAUAAAUUUAAUUCUGGUUGUUGAAUUUGAUAUCAAUCAUUUGUUGGAUGGGGGUGAGAACACUUGUUGAUCCAGGAUAGAAAUGGGUGUGUUUUAGAAUUUUUAACUUCAUUCUAAUUCAAUCGAGAAUGUAUAUUUUCUUCUUGAUGA